AGACUGCGGCUGCGCGAUCGUGGGCGGGUGUGGGACUCGCCGCGACCUCAUGAUGCUCCCGCCGCCGUCUUCCCGGGCCUGUUCGCGCAGUCUCAGGGGUGGCAUGCCGGGCACCGCCUGCCCGAAGGCAUGGGGCAGAACCCUGAGAGUGGGACAGUCCUGCCGCCUCCUGCCGAGGGCGAGCCCAGGUCCUGGCGGCUUCCCUAAGCCAUCUGAUAGGACUGCCGCCUGUUCAGUGCAGUUUCUGCUGGUGAAGGGCAGGAAGAAGGGCCUAAUCGCACGCUCCAAGACGGUGAAAUAUGUUAUCGGAGACUUGAAGGGUCUGCACCGGAAGAUCAGCUCAAGGGCCGCAGAACAUCGCUGUACGUUUUUGCUUCCCAGCUGAAACAGCUCCAUCGCAAGCACCACACUUACAUCCUGACCAACAGGUUAAAACCUCUUGAGGGGUUGGAGGAGGAUCUGGGAAGAGAUGGCCCCAGAUUAGGACUCUUAGUGAUGAUCAUGGGUCUUAUCUACAUGAAAGGUAAUAGCACAGUUCUGGGAGAUGCUGAAUUGCUUGUAGGGUGCUUCCAUCAAAAUAUCUUCUUUGGUUACCCAAAAAGGCUAAUUAUGGAAGGUUCUGUUCAGCAGCGAUGCCUUAGUUACAGACAGGUGCCUCACACCAAACCAUCGGAAUAUGAAUUCUCUUGUACUUCCCGAAGCAACCUGGAAAAUCACCGAGGUGGAAGAAGUGGGGCUCGUGUCCAGGUUUCAGAAGAAUGAACUACUUAUUGGCCAGAGCCCUAGGAGCCAGAGCCGAGGUGGCCCAUGUUAUGGCCACCCUCCAUGGCUGGUGAGGGUGGGGGGAAAGAUGGCCAACGAGGGCCUAGUGGGCUUGGUAUCCACUGUCUUUGAGUUGUAAGUAAUGUCAUUUCUGAGAAAAUGGUGAAGCUUUAGUUUUUAGAGCUUAUCAAUUGUUAGCUUUUGUUACUUUUAAUAUAUUAAAUUGCUAAUUUAUAUUUAUUGCUAUAAUUUUCCUAUAGAAUUUUGUUGUAGUUUUGCUGAUUUUUUAAAUUAGGUAUUUAUUUCAUUUACAUUUCCAAUGCUAUCCCAAAAGUCCCUCACCCGCUUCUCCACCCACUCACCCACUCCCAAGUUUUGCUGAUUUUUGUAAAUCAAGUCGUAAAACUUUGUAUUUUAUUCUGAGAUUCUGAAUGCAUUGUGCAGCAUUGUAAUUCUGGUCCUUGGUUGGCAUGAAAGGACACAGCAUAUUGAUCAGUGUGUGUGUGUGUGUGUGUGUGUGUGUGUGUGUGUGUGUGUAAGCUUAUUUGAUGCCGAGCCUCUGACAUUUUUUGUUUUAUUACCAAAAAAAAGUAUGUACUUCUAUUUACUUUUAUUAUAGUGAUCUAAAAAAAGUUAAAAUGUAGUAAAUGAGUAUUAUAUCCUGGUACACUUAAUAAAGUUGUUGAGCACCUUAA